AUACGGAAGGUCCGGGCGUUAUCCGGAUUUAUUGGGUUUAAAGGGAGCGCAGGCGGAGAUGCAAGCGUGACGUCAAAUUUCGGGGCUCAACCCCGUCUCGCGUCGCGAACUGCGUCCCUUGGUUGCGGGAAGGGGAGGCGGAACUCGUGGUGUAGCGGUGAAAUGCAUAGAUAUCACGAAGAACUCCGAUCGCGAAGGCAGCCUUCCGGCCCGUCAACGACGCUCAUGCUCGAAGGUGCGGGUAUCAAACAGGAUUAGAUACCCUGGUAGUCCGUACAGUAAACGAUGGACACCCGCGGUUUGGCCUGUAUGGCUGAGCCGCCAAGCGAAAGCGUUAAGUGUCCCACCUGGGGAGUACGCCGGCAACGGUGAAACUCAAAGGAAUUGACGGGG
rnacentral:rRNA from 1 species